rnacentral:rRNA from 1 species
CAGUAGCACGGUAAUACGAAGGGUGCAAGCGUUACUCGGAAUUACUGGGCGUAAAGCGUGCGUAGGUGGUGGUUUAAGUCCGUUGUGAAAGCCCUGGGCUCAACCUGGGAAUUGCAGUGGAUACUGGGUCACUAGAGUGUGGUAGAGGAUAGUGGAAUUUCCGGUGUAGCAGUGAAAUGCGUAGAGAUCGGAAGGAACAUCUGUGGCGAAGGCGACUAUCUGGGCCAACACUGACACUGAGGCACGAAAGCGUGGGGAGCAAACAGGAUUAGAUACCCGCGUAGUCCCUGUCUCUUAUACA